UACGUAGGGCGCAAGCGUUAUCCGGAAUUAUUGGGCGUAAAGAGCUCGUAGGCGGUUUGUCGCGUCUGCUGUGAAAUCCCAGGGCUUAACCCUGGGCCUGCAGUGGGUACGGGCAGGCUAGAGUUCGGUAGGGGAGACUGGAAUUCCUGGUGUAGCGGUGAAAUGCGCAGAUAUCAGGAGGAACACCGAUGGCGAAGGCAGGUCUCUGGGCCGAUACUGACGCUGAGGAGCGAAAGCGUGGGGAGCGAACAGG
rnacentral:rRNA from 1 species